GACGUAGGGUGCGAGCGUUGUCCGGAAUUAUUGGGCGUAAAGAGCUCGUAGGCGGUGUGUCACGUCGGCCGUGAAAACCUGCAGCUUAACUGUGGGCGUGCGGUCGAUACGGGCAUCACUGGAGUUCGGCAGGGGAGACUGGAAUUCCCGGUGUAGCGGUGAAAUGCGCAGAUAUCGGGAAGAACACCCGUGGCGAAGGCGGUUCUCUGGGACGGUACUGACGCUGAGACGCGAAAGCGUGGGGAGCGAACAGG
rnacentral:rRNA from 1 species